GGCCCCACCAUUCAGAUUGAUGGAAAAGAUGUAGUGACUUAUUAAUCAGAGUGGUGGCUUCACAAUUGAAACACAGAUGUAACCAGAAUUUAAAGGCGACAAGCCAGGCCCUUGUCUCCAGGAUGCAAAUAAAGGAUAUUGA